GGAAUCUUCCGCAAUGGGCGAAAGCCUGACGGAGCAACGCCGCGUGAGUGAAGAAGGUCUUCGGAUCGUAAAGCUCUGUUGUCGGGGACGAAUGUGCGAGAUGCGAAUAGUUUCUUGCAAUGACGGUACCUGACGAGGAAGCCACGGCUAACUACGUGCCAGCAGCCGCGGUAAUACGUAGGUGGCGAGCGUUGUCCGGAAUUAUUGGGCGUAAAGGGAGCGCAGGCGGGAAGGUAAGUCGGUCUUAAAAGUGCGGGGCUCAACCCCGUGAUGGGAUCGAAACUAUCUUUCUUGAGUGCAGGAGAGGAAAGCGGAAUUCCUAGUGUAGCGGUGAAAUGCGUAGAUAUUAGGAGGAACACCAGUGGCGAAGGCGGCUUUCUGGACUGUAACUGACGCUGAGGCUCGAAAGCGUGGGGAGCGAACA
rnacentral:rRNA from 1 species